UAAAAUACAACAUUUGCUUGUUGAAUUUAAAACAAAUGAAAUGAAAGUGUAGCCAUGGUGUGUUUUGUCAAUUACAUUUUUUUUUUUGUCAAAUGU